rnacentral:rRNA from 1 species
UUUGAGAGGAUGAGGAAGGACGGUACUCUCAGAAUAAGUCUCGGCUAACUACGUGCCAGCAGCCGCGGUAACACGUAGGAGGCGAACGUUAUCCGGAUUUAUUGGGCGUAAAGCGCGUGUAGGUGGUUUGGUAAGUAGAGCGUGAAAGCUCCUGGCUCAACUGGGAGAGGUCGUUCUAAACUGCCAGACUAGAGGAUGGUAGAGGGAGGUGGAAUUCCGGGUGUAGCGGUGGAAUGCGCAGAUAUCCGGAGGAACACCAGUGGCGAAAGCGGCCUCCUGGACCACUCCUGACACUCAGACGCGGAAGCUAGGGUAGCAAACGGGAUUAGAGACCCCGGUAGUCCUAGCCAUAAACGAUGUAGACUUGGCGUCGGUGGUUUAAUCACCAUCGGUGUCGAAGCUAACGCGAUAAGUCUAUCGCCUGGGGACUACGGCCGCAAGGUUAAAACUCAAAGGAAUUGACGG